UCCGGUAUGGUGUAUCGGCUAACAUUGCCGCCUUUCACGAGGAUGACUAAGCAACAGUCACGUGACGGCAUCCGCGGCAGCGCCGGGUUCGAUUCCCGGUACCGGAA